rnacentral:rRNA from 1 species
GACGAACGCUGGCGGCGUGCUUAACACAUGCAAGUCGAACGGAAAGGCCCUGCUUGCAGGGUACUCGAGUGGCGAACGGGUGAGUAACACGUGGGUGAUCUGCCCUGCACUUCGGGAUAAGCCUGGGAAACUGGGUCUAAUACCGGAUAGGAGCCAUUUUUAGUGUGAUGGUUGGAAAGUUUUUUCGGUGUAGGAUGAGCUCGCGGCCUAUCAGCUUGUUGGUGGGGUAAUGGCCUACCAAGGCGGCGACGGGUAGCCGGCCUGAGAGGGUGGACGGCCACAUUGGGACUGAGAUACGGCCAGACUCCUACGGGAGGCAGCAGUGGGGAAUAUUGCACAAUGGGCGCAAGCCUGAUGCAGCGACGCCGCGUGGGGGAUGACGGCCUUCGGGUUGUAAACUCCUUUCGCUAGGGACGAAGCUUUUUGUGACGGUACCUAGAUAAGAAGCACCGGCUAACUACGUG